GGGAUUCAACGCACACCCUCUCCAUUGGAAGGAGAGGGAAACCCAGCCCCAGCGACCUGCAGAAAGAGGCGGCUUUGGCUUCCGUCACGUUGAGUGGUGCGGGCCCAUCAGAAGCUCCAAGGACACCCCUAAGGCUGCUGUCAGUGACGGGUUCUUGAAUUCAGUCCCUUAAGCUGGAUCGCACAGAGCUGAUUUUGCUGAGCUCGCAGUAGAGCAUCGACGCUGGUGGGUAUAAAGGGCGUCCAGGCAAGGUCUGUGGAUCUUCUGUGUUCGUAGCUGUUGUCAGGCGCCCUGUCGGGUCCGUGCAUUACUUACCGUCCAUCUCAUCCUCUGUUUUCUCCGUGUUGGAGAGUUUCUCAAUCUUGCUACUGUCCUACCUGACCUGUGCCCAGGAAGCCGCAGUAGGACUGGUAACCAGAAGCUAGCUUGAGCGUAGCAGUAGUCUCGUUUUCUCAGUGAACCCCGAGACCGCCGCAUGAC
ensembl:lncRNA